GACGAACGCUGGCGGCGUGCCUAAUACAUGCAAGUCGAACGCAGGGGGGACGGGUGAGUAACACGUGGGUAACCUCCCAUCAGAGGGGAUAAAACUUGGAAACAGGUGCUAAACCGAUACAGCUGGCUGGACACGCGGGGGAUGAGCUAGUUGGGGAGGUAAAGGCUCACCAAGGCCACGAGGCAUAGCCGACCGUAGAGGGUGAUCGGCAACACUGGGACUGAGACACGGCCCAGACUCCUACGGGAGGCAGCAGUAGGGAAUCUUCGGCAAUGGACGAAAGUCUGACCGAGCAACGCCGCGUGAUUGAAGAAGUUUUUCGGAUUGUAAAACUCUGUUGUUAGAGAAGCGGUAUCUAACCAGAAAGCCACGGCUAACUACGUGCCAGCAGCCGCGGUAAUAC
rnacentral:rRNA from 1 species